UCAAAAGAGAUUAAAGAUAUCUGACUCAAGAUUGUUAGAAAAACAACAAAAUAGUAAAAUACAAAAUGGAUACAAUAACAAAUAGUAAAUACACAUCGAAGAAUAAGUGGUUAUGUGACAGCUAAAUGCUACUAUGCUUUUUAACCUUCUAUCGUAAUCCUCGACCUCCAUUAGCUUGCGUUCUAUCUAAGGUGAUGUCCUCAGUCAGCUGAAGUUGUAUCGUGUCCUGGCUAAUCACCUCUUCUAGUUCUUUAACCUACCUCCACCUACUCCUUUUUCACAUGUCUGAAUCAUCUUAUUAGUUUCGCUUUCCGUAUCUUGUUCGUCACUAAUACCACUCUCACUGUUUCCCACGUAACUUCAUUUCUAAUCAUAUUUCUCCGAGUCUCUACCCACACCUAUCAUGUGAGCAAAAACAAGCAUGCAAACAAUUUAAAAAGAUUUGGAAUGAAAAUAACAUGAUGAUGAUGAAUGUCAUUUUCAUUUCUUUUUUUUUGGUUUGAGAUAAUGCAUGAGAACUUUAUUUUCCAUUGUUAUGUACAUUCUUUUAACAUAAAGAUUAAAUGUUAUGCUAACCACAUUGGGUUAAAGGUAUCAGAUUCAAG
rnacentral:lncRNA from 1 species